UACGGAGGGGGCUAGCGUUGUUCGGAAUUACUGGGCGUAAAGCGUACGUAGGCGGCUUUGUAAGUUAGAGGUGAAAGCCCAGAGCUCAACUCUGGAAUUGCCUUUAAGACUGCAUCGCUUGAAUCGUGGAGAGGUUAGUGGAAUUCCGAGUGUAGAGGUGAAAUUCGUAGAUAUUCGGAAGAACACCAGUGGCGAAGGCGGUCACCUGGCUCGUUACUGACGCUCAGGCACGAAAGUGUGGGUAGCAAACAGG
rnacentral:rRNA from 1 species